AUUGAACGCUGGCGGCAUGCUUUACACAUGCAAGUCGAACGGUAACAGGCCGCAAGGUGCUGACGAGUGGCGAACGGGUGAGUAAUGCAUCGGAACGUGCCCAGUCGUGGGGGAUAACGCAGCGAAAGCUGUGCUAAUACCGCAUACGAUCUGUGGAUGAAAGCGGGGGACCUUCGGGCCUCGCGCGAUUGGAGCGGCCGAUGUCAGAUUAGGUAGUUGGUGGGGUAAAGGCUCACCAAGCCGACGAUCUGUAGCUGGUCUGAGAGGACGACCAGCCACACGGGGACUGAGACACGGCCCAGACUCCUACGGGAGGCAGCAGUGGGGAAUUUUGGACAAUGGGCGCAAGCCUGAUCCAGCAAUGCCGCGUGCAGGAAGAAGGCCUUCGGGUUGUAAACUGCUUUUGUACGGAGCGAAAAGGCUCCCUCUAAUACAGGGGGCUCAUGACGGUACCGUAAGAAUAAGCACCGGCUAACUACGUGCCAGCCGCCGCCGUAAUAC
rnacentral:rRNA from 1 species